rnacentral:lncRNA from 1 species
ACCUAAAGUUUGAAAUCUGUGCUCUUUCAAAUUUAAUUUAACAAACAUCUUUUGAUUUAUUGAUUGUUUAUGAUGUUCCAGACCAGGCAAGGGGACCUACACAGAGGAUGAAGAAUAGGACAUAUCUUCAAGGGAGGUUCUUAAUGUAGGAGCAAUUUGAAGUGGAUUCAGUUUUAUAGAUAAUAAGCAUGAGAGUAAAGAUCACAGCAGACAUUUGGUUACUAAAGAUCUAUGGGCCUGCCUUUUGUUUUUUUCUCUUGGUUAUACAGUUUUCUCGAGUUAUUACUGUUCCAGCUCAAUGGCGUUUAGAUGCAGCAUUUCACCUCUCCUUUUGAGAAGGAAGGAGAGAGGGAAAGAGAAAUAAUUGAUCACCAGCUCUUUCCUUCUAUAAGAAAUCUUCUACUCAUCACACCAGGGCUAUCCUCAUCAAGCAGGUAGGCAGCAAACAACCCUAGCGAACCUUUCCCUAUUUCACACACACACACACACAUACACACACACACACACACUCAGAUGCAUGUCAUACAUACGCUCUUAUAUGCUCACACACACUCACACCUGUACACAUGCCUACAUGUUCUCAUACACUCAUACA